rnacentral:rRNA from 1 species
GACGAACGCUGGCGGCGUGCUUAACACAUGCAAGUCGAACGGUGAAACGCCUUCCUUUUUGGUGUGUGUGGAUGGGUGGCGAACUGGUGAGUAACACGUGAGUAACCUUCCCCGUUCUUCUUGAUAACCGCAUGAAAGUGUUGCUAAUACGGGAUAUUCUGGAUCUGUCGCAUGAUGGGUCUGGGAAAGAUAUUGUUUCGGUGGGGGAUGGGCUCGCGGCCUAUCAGCUUGUUGGUGGGGUGAUGGCCUACCAAGGCGGUGACGGGUAGCCGGCCUGAGAGGGUGGACGCUCAGACUGGGAGUGAGAGACGGGACAGACUCGUACGGGAGGCAGAGGUGGGGAAUAUUGCAGAACGAGAGCCAGACGGAGGAACGGACGGUGAGUGAGGGAUGGCUGCGGUUGGGAUAUGACUCUUAUUAGCGAGGGACGCAGGCGUGCGUAGUUAGUCGGUGGUUGGACGGUAGCUGGCUAAGAAGCGCGGGUUAAUUACGU